GAUGAACGCUAGCGGCAGGCCUAAUACAUGCAAGUCGAACGGUGUCUUCGGACAUAGUGGCGCACGGGUGCGUAACACGUAUGCAACCUACCUUACAUUGGGGGAUAGCCUUUCGAAAGGGAGAUUAAUACCGCAUAAGACAGUAGCUGGGCAUCCAGCAGCUGUUAAAGAUUUAUCGAUGUAAGCUGGGCAUGCGUCCAAUUAGCUAGUUGGUGAGGUAACGGCUCACCAAGGCAAUGAUCGGUAGGGGAACUGAGAGGUCAAUCCCCCACACUGGCACUGAGAUACGGGCCAGACUCCUACGGGAGGCAGCAGUAGGGAAUAUUGGGCAAUGGACGCAAGUCUGACCCAGCCAUGCCGCGUGCAGGAUGAAGGCGUUAUGCGUUGUAAACUGCUUUUAUACAGGAAGAAACGACUCUUGCGAGAGGCAUUGACGGUACUGUACGAAUAAGCACCGGCUAACUCCGUGCCAGCCGCCGCGGUAACAC
rnacentral:rRNA from 1 species